rnacentral:rRNA from 1 species
GAUGAACGCUGGCGGCGUGCCUAAUACAUGCAAGUCGAGCGAACAGACGAGGAGCUUGCUCCUCUGACGUUAGCGGCGGACGGGUGAGUAACACGUGGAUAACCUACCUAUAAGACUGAGAUAACUUCGGGAAACCGGAGCUAAUACCGGAUAAUAUAUUGAACCGCAUGGUUCAAUAGUGAAAGACGGUUUUGCUGUCACUUAUAGAUGGAUCCGCGCCGCAUUAGCUAGUUGGUAAGGUAACGGCUUACCAAGGCAACGAUGCGUAGCCGACCUGAGAGGGUGAUCGGCCCCCCUGGAACUGAGCCACGGUCCCGACUCCUACGGGAGGCCGCAGUAGGGAAUCUUCCGCAAUGGGCGGAAGCCUGACGGAGCAACGCCGCGUGAGUGAUGAAGGUCUUCGGAUCGUAAAACUCUGUUAUUAGGGAAGAACAAAUGUGUAAGUAACUAUGCACGUCUUGACGGUACCUAAUCAGAAAGCCACGGCUAACUACGUG